GGCUGCUCUGCGGCCUGGCGUGGAUCUCGGCCGCCAUCUCGGUGCGGAGUCUCCGCCGGGGGCGGCCCCUCCGCUGAGUGACGGGCAGAGUUCUACUGGGAUUUCACCUUCUCCGGACUGAUCGUGCAGGGGGUUCUGCCUGUCUCCAGCACUCAGGACCCUGAACUACCACCAUCACCUGGAAACCCUGACCAGUUCAAGCUUCGUGGAGCGGCGCAGUGGACACAGCGUACAGAUGCAAAGCCCAGGACCUUCUACUCUCCGGCUGAUUUAGAGCCUUCGAGGAGGACUACUUGGGAGUCCCGACUUCGUCGCAGGUGGGGAGACCCUCUGGGAUGAUGGACACCGGGAAAGCAGGACCCUCCACAGGACCCCUGCCUCAUUCAGAGCACAGGAUGGAUGGUGAUCAUUGAAUGAGCAGCUAUUCAAUAUUUCUUUUGUAUUUCUCAUUCAAUGUGUCCUUCCCUGGGGCUGUACCUUGACAUGGUGGAGAGGCCUGUGUAGUCCAGUGAUCCUGAGCACUACGCUGGUGGAAGACCUAACUCCUAGUAGAGCCACCCAAGCCACACUAGGCAAAGGACAAGGACCAGAUGAAAGGCAGUGUACUGGGAUCUCUACAUUGGGGUUGAGGGAUAGGCCAAGAACCCGUUGUCGUAAAAAAGUUAAGUUAUAGAACACAACAAGGUUCCUGCCCUUCGCCAUUUCUAGGGCUACCAUAUGCUCGGAUUUCCCCGGACAUGUCCGGCUUUUCAGUCUAUAAAUAGCCGUCCGGGAGGGAUUUUUAAAAAUCGAAAAAU